rnacentral:rRNA from 1 species
AACGAACGCUGGCGGCAUGCCUAACACAUGCAAGUCGAACGAGACCUUCGGGUCUAGUGGCGCACGGGUGCGUAACGCGUGGGAACCUGCCCUUAGGUUCGGAAUAACUCCCCGAAAGGGGUGCUAAUACCGGAUAAUGUCUUCGGACCAAAGAUUUAUCGCCUUUGGAUGGGCCCGCGUUGGAUUAGCUAGUUGGUAGGGUAAAAGCCUACCAAGGCGACGAUCCAUAGCUGGUCUGAGAGGAUGAUCAGCCACACUGGGACUGAGACACGGCCCAGACUCCUACGGGAGGCGGCAGUGGGGAAUAUUGGACAAGGGGCGAAAGCCUGAUCCAGCAAUGCCGCGUGAGUGAUGAAGGCCUUAGGGUUGUAAAGCUCUUUUACCCGGGAUGAUAAUGACAGUACCGGGAGAAUAAGCUCCGGCUAACUCCGUG